rnacentral:rRNA from 1 species
CCUACGGGCGGCAGCAGUGAGGAAUAUUGGUCAAUGGACGAGAGUCUGAACCAGCCAAGUAGCGUGAAGGAUGACUGCCCUAUGGGUUGUAAACUUCUUUUAUAUGGGAAUAAAAUGUUCCACGUGUGGGAUUUUGUAUGUACCAUAUGAAUAAGGAUCGGCUAACUCCGUGCCAGCAGCCGCGGUAAUACGGAGGAUCCGAGCGUUAUCCGGAUUUAUUGGGUUUAAAGGGAGCGUAGGUGGAUUGUUAAGGCAGUUGUGAAAGUUUGCGGCUCAACCGUAAAAUUGCAGUUGAAACUGGCAGUCUUGAGUACAGUAGAGGUGGGCGGAAUUCGUUGUGUAGCGGUGAAAUGCUUAGAUAGCACGAAGAACUCCGAUUGCGAAGGCAGUUCACUGGACUGCAACUGACACUGAGGCUCGAAAGUGUGGGUAUCAAACAGGAUUAGAUACCCUGGUAGUC